CCUACGGGAGGCAGCAGUGGGGAAUAUUGCACAAUGGGCGCAAGCCUGAUGCAGCAACGCCGCGUGAGGGACGACGGCCUUCGGGUUGUAAACCUCUUUUAGUAGGGAAGAAGCGAAAGUGACGGUACCUGCAGAAAAAGCACCGGCUAACUACGUGCCAGCAGCCGCGGUAAUACGUAGGGUGCAAGCGUUAUCCGGAAUUAUUGGGCGUAAAGAGCUCGUAGGCGGUUUGUCGCGUCUGCUGUGAAAACUGGAGGCUCAACCUCCAGCCUGCAGUGGGUACGGGCAGACUAGAGUGCGGUAGGGGAGAUUGGAAUUCCUGGUGUAGCGGUGGAAUGCGCAGAUAUCAGGAGGAACACCGAUGGCGAAGGCAGAUCUCUGGGCCGUAACUGACGCUGAGGAGCGAAAGCAUGGGGAGCGAACAGGAUUAGAUACCCUGGUAGUCCAUGCCGUAAACGUUGGGAACUAGAUGUAGGGACCAUUCCACGGUUUCUGUGUCGCAGCUAACGCAUUAAGUUCCCCGCCUGGGGAGUACGGCCGCAAGGCUAAAACUCAAAUGAAUUGACGG
rnacentral:rRNA from 1 species